CCUGGAUGUAUUUGGUUGGAGCAAGGAUACUGUUAGGCCAUGAGGAAGACAGUGAAGGAAAUGGGAUUUCCAGAGAUCAGAAGCAGAGGCCCUCCAGUGAGGGAGGCACCCACACACUGCAUUUCCAGUUUCUGCACACUGCCUGGCACUCAGUCAACACUCCAUAAAUAUUUGUUGGAUCAGUGAUUGAAGAACACAGUGAUGAACGAAUGAAGAGGAACCCUAGAUCUGUUCCACUGAAGUCAUUCCUAUGGAUUAAGACGUUGUGUCAUGUUCAAAUGCAAAAAAACCAGGGCAAAUGUUUGUGGGAAAUGGUCUCGAUUUUUCUUAAUGAGGGCACAGACUCUAACAAUCUAGCAAGCACACCCUGCAGUCUAAACCGUUGCUACCUUAAUGGAUAACUGUCAAUCUGGCUGACAACAGCUCUCCUCGAAUUCCCCAGAGAGGCGGAAGAGAAGAGGGAGAGCCACAUAUUAAUUCUUGAAAGAAUUCAAUUAUGAAUGCUCCUU